UACGAAGGGGGCUAGCGUUGCUCGGAAUCACUGGGCGUAAAGGGUGCGUAGGCGGGUCUUUAAGUCAGGGGUGAAAUCCUGGAGCUCAACUCCAGAACUGCCUUUGAUACUGAAGAUCUUGAGUUCGGGAGAGGUGAGUGGAACUGCGAGUGUAGAGGUGAAAUUCGUAGAUAUCAGGAAGAACACCCGUGGCUAAGGCGGCUCUCUAGUACGUGACUGACGCUGAGGCGCGAAAGCGUGGGGAGCAAACAGG
rnacentral:rRNA from 1 species